UGCUGGUACGUGCUGUUAAGAUACUAUGUUCCACAGGCUGGGAUCAGAUGGGAGGUGUGCUCAUAUUCUUGACCCAAUCCAAUGGCCAGGUGUAAUAGUAAACACCUGCAAACCCAAGAGGAUCACAACAUGGAAUGUUGGCAGUAAUCUUGGAUUAUUUAUUUAAAAUCAUUAAAGCAAGAGCUGUGAGUUUUUGUAAGAUUUAUGAGAUUCAGGGAAGCUAAAUCUCAUCAAUGGCUCCAGAGAUAAGAGACCUCUUGAUAUCUGGCUAUGAAGAUAGGGAGGAGGAAGACACCACCAGCCCCUUCCUGCAUAUGUGGUUACACUGAGGCAGAUGUUAUCAGAUUAAGCCGGGCAAAGCUACACCCAGAUCCACACCACUACUAGAGCAGAAGCCAAAGAUUUUCUUGACUCUACCUUGAUUCUGCUCCUUCUAAAACAUUGCUUAGAUUUAAGCUUCUGGCAAAAAACUGAAACUGGUCUUUCCAUCCUGCAAGCCUGGGAACAAAACAUGCUCCUCAAGCACUGACUGCCUCCCCGAGUGAUCCUGCCUAAAGACAAUGAGAGGCCACCUCAUGAUUUUGCCUCCAAGACAAUGAAACGGUUACCCUUUGCUUCUAGGUGUGCACUCACAUUGACUCUUUCCAGUGCAUUCUGUAUUUCUUCCAGUGAGGAGGAGAUGGUUAUGGAC